UACGAAGGACCCGAGCGUUAUCCGGAUUUAUUGGGUUUAAAGGGUGCGUAGGCGGACUUAUAAGUCAGUGGUGAAAUCUCCCAGCUUAACUGGGAAACUGCCAUUGAAACUAUUUGUCUUGAGUACAUUUGAGGCGGGCGGAAUGUGUCAUGUAGAGGUGAAAUUCUUAAGAUAUGACACAGAACACUAAUUGCGAAGGCGGC
rnacentral:rRNA from 1 species